CCCUGAGGAGGAUCCCCAACUGUCUUCAAGUCCAAGACUCACCCAGCCACUUCUACUUUCAGCAGUAACUCUGGGAAGAUGAAGGCAGCAGCUGGAAAAAAAGGUGUUUCUUUUCAAGAUCCCAAAAGUCAUGUUGUAUCCAUCACACAAUACACUCCUUGGAAAACUAAGAGUCAUAUUUCACCGAGGAUCUGGUUUUGUAAUUUUGGAGUGGUGUUGGCUUUAUGCAAUAAGCACAAAAUCAUACUCAACCAAUGAAGGACCUGGAAGAUCUUCCCUCUAGUUCACCAUCUAGAAGGAUUCCCUCUUCCAUUUGGACCUUGCCCAAGACAUCUUUCCUGACAGUAGUGAACACUUUCUCUUUAUGUGUUGUGCUUUGCUUGAAGUUAAUGAGAUGAUCAUGGAACAGUUAUCUCUGUGAUUACAUUUGUCAAAGAAUAUUGUGCAUACAUGAGAUAUUUUUCAUAUACAAGAGACUCCUUGUUGAAGGAGAGUAUAAAGCUUCUAUUUUGCUGCAGCAAAUUUGAGGGAGGGGAGUAAUCAAUAAAUAACAAGCACAGCUAGAUCUCAUGUUCUCAGCUCUUUUCAAUCCAUAUGACUACAAAGAUGUUGUCUACUCUAGACAAUCACUUUUUAAAGUCUGCUUGUUCCGUUCUUAUAGUUUCAUAAAAUAUACCCUUUUAGGGCAGGUAGGUGGUGCAGUGGAUAGAGCUCUGGCCUUGGAGUAAGGAGGACAC